CCCGCCGCCCCCGCCGGCCGCUUACCUCGGCUCACCAGUUUGAAGCUCUGGGAUUUCCUGCUUCUUUUCCUCUCGGAGAACUCCAUGGGGAGCAGAGAGCGCACUACAGGCAUCAUUUCUUUUCCACAACAUCUUUUGAGCGGGAAAGGAAAAGAAUUCUACACCACCUGGGACUGGCAGUGCAGGAACGUGAUGUGACAUGCUUGAAAGUACCACCGCCAAACCCAAACGGGAAAGGACAUAAAAACCCGAAGAUGUUUUGGAUGUUUUUAAAGGAAAAAAGCAUACUUUAAAAAAUGUUAUUCCCAAAGCCAUUAAGGGCUGAGUACUAUACUGAUUAAGGAACUUGGGAAGUUGUUCAUGCCUUGGAGCAGAAAAUGAGAUUUUAUUAUGCUUAAAGUAUGAUGAAAUCAGUGAAGGUGUCAUCCCAAGAAGCAAGUCCCUAGGGAAGAUAUUAACAACUUAGCAUUUUCAGUUCAAGUGGGAAUGUGACUUCCAUUUACUGAAGAGAAGAUUUUUGAUAUCGCUAAGAAUAAAAUAUGUCAAAGUCAU